rnacentral:rRNA from 1 species
CCUACGGGAGGCAGCAGUGAGGAAUAUUGGUCAAUGGACGAGAGUCUGAACCAGCCAAGUAGCGUGAAGGAUGACUGCCCUAUGGGUUGUAAACUUCUUUUAUAUGGGAAUAAAAUGUUCCCCGUGUGGGAUUUUGUAUGUACCAUAUGAAUAAGGAUCGGCUAACUCCGUGCCAGCAGCCGCGGUAAUACGGAGGAUCCGAGCGUUAUCCGGAUUUAUUGGGUUUAAAGGGAGCGUAGGUGGAUUGUUAAGUCAGUUGUGAAAGUUUGCGGCUCAACCGUAAAAUUGCAGUUGAAACUGGCAGUCUUGAGUACAGUAGAGGUGGGCGGAAUUCGUGGUGUAGCGGUGAAAUGCUUAGAUAUCACGAAGAACUCCGAUUGCGAAGGCAGUUCACUGGACUGCAACUGACACUGAGGCUCGAAAGUGUGGGUAUCAAACAGGAUUAGAUACCCGUGUAGUC